rnacentral:rRNA from 1 species
GAUCCUGGCUCAGGAUGAACGCUAGCUACAGGCUUAACACAUGCAAGUCGAGGGGCAUCAUGAGGUAGCAAUACCUUGAUGGCGACCGGCGCACGGGUGAGUAACGCGUAUGCAACCUGCCCGAUACCGGGGUAUAGCCCAUGGAAACGUGGAUUAACACCCCAUAGUACUUUUAUCCUGCCUGGGAUGGGAGUUAAAUGUUCAAGGUAUCGAAUGGGCAUGCGUCCUAUUAGUUAGUUGGG